rnacentral:rRNA from 1 species
UAGGGAAUCUUCCACAAUGGGCGCAAGCCUGAUGGAGCAACACCGCGUGAGUGAAGAAGGGUUUCGGCUCGUAAAGCUCUGUUGUUGGAGAAGAACGUACCUGAGAGUAACUGUUCAGGUAGUGACGGUAUCCAACCAGAAAGUCACGGCUAACUACGUGCCAGCAGCCGCGGUAAUACGUAGGUGGCAAGCGUUAUCCGGAUUUAUUGGGCGUAAAGCGAGCGCAGGCGGUUGCUUAGGUCUGAUGUGAAAGCCUUCGGCUUAACCGAAGAAGUGCAUCGGAAACCGGGCGACUUGAGUGCAGAAGAGGACAGUGGAACUCCAUGUGUAGCGGUGGAAUGCGUAGAUAUAUGGAAGAACACCAGUGGCGAAGGCGGCUGUCUGGUCUGCAACUGACGCUGAGGCUCGAAAGCAUGGGUAGCGAACAGG